rnacentral:rRNA from 1 species
UACGAAGGGUGCAAGCGUUAAUCGGAAUUACUGGCGUAAAGCGCGCGUAGGUGGUUCAGCAAGUUGGAUGUGAAAUCCCCGGGCUCAACCUGGGAACUGCAUCCAAAACUACUGAGCUAGAGUACGGUAGAGGGUGGUGGAAUUUCCUGUGUAGCGGUGAAAUGCGUAGAUAUAGGAAGGAACACCAGUGGCGAAGGCGACCACCUGGACUGAUACUGACACUGAGGUGCGAAAGCGUGGGGAGCAAACAGG